AGGGAUCAUUAAAGAGUUAAAAACAACUCCUAAACCCAUGUGAAACCUACCUUUGUUGCCUCGGCAGGUCUGCAACUUACCCUGAGGGUACCUACCCUGUAGGUACCUUACCCGGUAGUUGCGGGCAUAACCUGCCGGUGGUCUACUAAACUCUGUUUACUAUGUCAUUCUGAAUAAUAUAACUAAAUAAGUUAAAACUUUCAACAACGGAUCUCUUGGUUCUGGCAUCGAUGAAGAACGCAGCGAAAUGCGAUAAGUAAUGUGAAUUGCAGAAUUCAGUGAAUCAUCGAAUCUUUGAACGCACAUUGCGCCCAUUAGUAUUCUAGUGGGCAUGCCUGUUCGAGCGUCAUUUCAACCCUUAAGCCCUGUUGCUUAGCGUUGGGAGCCUACAGAUACCCUCUGUAGUUCCUUAAAGUUAGUGGCGGAGUCGGUUUCACACUCUAGACGUAGUAAAUUUUAUCUCGCCUAUAGAUGAGCCGGUCCCUUGCCGUAAAACCCCCUAAUUUCUAAAGGUUGACCUCGGAUCAGGUAGGAAUACCCGCUGAACUUAA
rnacentral:rRNA from 1 species